UAAUAACCACUGCAGCCAAGAAGAGUGCCUGAGGAGCCCAUUUCCUCAGAGCAACAAACCAGAUUAGAUGCUGUGGACUUGAGAAUUACACGGAGUGAAAGGCGCUGAGGAGCGCAAGUUGGAGGUGAUGACUCUGAGAGUGGAGCUGAAUAACAUUUGGGCUAAACUGCAGCUCCACAAUGAAACAGAACGGCUGCAGAAGAAUGAGUUCAGAGUUUUUUUAGGCAAGUUUGCUUUCUCUGUUGGUUUGAUCGAUCAGGUUGGACAGUUCAAGCUGGAGACAUCACUGAAAUUCAACAUUUGCAGUACUUACAAUGUAACUUCAGGCAGGUUCGUCGCACCAGCCAGAGGUCUACUACUUCAGAUUCACUGCCUUUGAUCACUGAAUUGGAAAACUCUGGUCUUCACCUUUACUGCAAUAACCAGAAAAUCAUUUCUAACUGGGAAAACAAGAAUAAUGAAGGCCAUUUGUACCUGUCAGAUGCAUUAACUCUUCAAAUAAAUGAGGGGGAGUUAGUGUACACGCACCUUCCCUCUGGGCACAGCCUUUAUGAUGAUCAAAAUAUUCCCAACACAUUAAGUGGUCUCUUAUAUUUCAGUCUUAAACGCCUCCCACGUGGCGGUCACGUUGUGCUGCCCAUUUAUGGUGACCCACGACAUAACUAAAUAUUUAAUGAUCAGCAAUUGGUGCUCCUGUCAUCCAAUGUUGUGCAUUAUAACAUAGACAAUUUUCUCUGCUAAAUUACCUGCGAUUAGCCUUCAGUGCGAGUUUUAUGAACUACAGGUUAAGGACAUAUGUUUACUCCGGCAACAUAGGCGAUUGCUUUGUUUUGAUGAGUUCAGCCUUUAAUUGCUUGUCUAGAGUCAUCUCAAGAUGAAAAACUCCACUGAAGCUGCACUUGAUCAAAGCUGCGCUAAAGUGAGGUCUGCAGCGAGUGAGUAAGAGAACAAAUAGCGAUUUCAAAUUCUGUAUGAAGUUUAUCCGCUAUGAUGCUCACUGGUAAAAAAUACUAGAAAUAAGACAGCUUUUGUGGCAGAGAUGUAUGGGAGUAAAGGGUAACACACGCAUUGGAUCAUCCACACAUGGAAAUAAAGUUUAGUUUAACAACGUAUCUGCAUUUGAAACAAAGAGAGCCCAGGUCUAGUUCUGUGAGGCUUUGAACUAAAUGCUGAUGUCAGCAUGCCAGCAUAGAGUACCUAUUACAAUGAGAGUGCUAAAAUGCUGAUGUAAGGUUUAAAUAGUGAACUAUCUGUGCCUUUUUACCUUAGCUGUUCUAUGGCACACUUAAAAAUACAUUUUGUUUUGUUUUUCCCCCCACCCAUUCACACAGACACCAGUGGAGCUCACCUGCUAUCAGGAGCAGCUUGGAGCUCAGCAUGAGCUACGUGAUUUACCAUGUUUGCUAUCAUUAGCAGAUUAGCAUGUUCUGUGUUUACUGUCUUUACAUCAAGCAUGAAAAACAAAGUGAAGCUAACGCUAAGAGGGUCAAAAAGGGCCAUCAGACAAUUUAAAAGUUAAACAAGUAAGAAGUAAAUCGGCGGGACAGUGAUGCCGUUUUUGAGGAGUGGACAUCACUUUUAUUUUUAUUGCGCAAAAGAGAAACUGCUAACACAACUUUGGCUCUUUGCAGCACGCUAGCACUAAGCUUCAGUCCAGCAACCAGAUACUGAACUUCAACAAGUAACAAAAAUAUUGAUGAGCAGUCUGUAGCUUCUCUGUCUGCCUGUUUUAAAGUAGAAUCCCUGCAGGCGAUCGCUAUGAAGUCUUUCUUCGUCUGUUUUUCGUCUUUGCCUUGUGUUGCUGGCUUUGUGUUCAUACGGGGUAAUGUUUUACAGCGCAACAAGAAAGUGAUGUAAUGAGUAGUGUAACAGAUUACUUUCUCUGGCUAAACAUAUUAAAUUACUUCUGAGAAAAGUAAUGUAUAAUCUGUAACACGUUACUUUUACUGAGUAAUGACACCAACACUGGUAAUAUCACGACAUUACUUACAGGCUUAAAGGCUAAACUACAGCAAGAUUUAAGUGAUCUAAAAAAAUUAAAGAUGUAUAAAAUGGGUAAUCACUUGAGUCUUAUAUAUCAACAGAAACACACGUCUGAUUGCAGCAAACAUCCAUUUGCAAUGACCGAGUCUUAUUGCAAAUGGCAA